rnacentral:rRNA from 1 species
UUGNANUGGGCGAAGCCUGAUGCAGCAACGCCGCGUGCGCGAAGAAGGCCUUCGGGUUGUAAAGCGCUUUUCGGGGAGAUGAGGAAGGACAGUAUCCCCGGAAUAAGGCUCGGCUAACUACGUGCCAGCAGCCGCGGUAACACGUAGGAGCCAAGCGUUAUCCGAAUUCACUGGGCGUAAAGCGCGUGCAGGCGGCUCGGUAAGUUGGAUGUGAAAGCUCCUGGCUCAACUGGGAGAGGACGUUCAAUACUGUCGGGCUAGAGGACGGCAGAGGGAGGUGGAAUUCCCGGUGUAGUGGUGAAAUGCGUAGAUAUCGGGAGGAACACCAGUGGCGAAGGCGGCCUUCUGGGCCGCUCCUGACGCUCAGACGCGAAAGCUAGGGGAGCGAACGGGAUUAGAAACCCCGGUAGUCCUAGCCGUAAACGAUGUAGACUUGGUGUAGGUGGUGUAAAAGCCAUCUGUGCCGAAGCCAACGCGAUAAGUCUACCGCCUGGGGACUACGGCCGCAAGGUUAAAACUCAAAAAAAUUGACGGA